UACCUCCAAAAACCACAACAGUCUGUUUCAUCCGUAACACCUGAUGAUUCCUAUACGGAUGAAACAGACUGUUGUGGUUUUU
rnacentral:miRNA from 1 species